rnacentral:rRNA from 1 species
CGGUAGAGAGAAAGCUUGCUUCUCUUGAGAGCGGCGGACGGGUGAGUAAUGCCUAGGAAUCUGCCUGGUAGUGGGGGAUAACGUCCGGAAACGGACGCUAAUACCGCAUACGUCCUACGGGAGAAAGCAGGGGACCUUCGGGCCUUGCGCUAUCAGAUGAGCCUAGGUCGGAUUAGCUAGUUGGUGGGGUAAUGGCUCACCAAGGCGACGAUCCGUAACUGGUCUGAGAGGAUGAUCAGUCACACUGGAACUGAGACACGGUCCAGACUCCUACGGGAGGCAGCAGUGGGGAAUAUUGGACAAUGGGCGAAAGCCUGAUCCAGCCAUGCCGCGUGUGUGAAGAAGGUCUUCGGAUUGUAAAGCACUUUAAGUUGGGAGGAAGGGCAGUACCCCUAAUACUUUGCUGUUUUGACGUUACCGACAGAAUAAGCACCGGCUAACUCUGUGCCAGCAGCCGCGGUAAUACAGAGGGUGCAAGCGUUAAUCGGAAUUACUGGGCGUAAAGCGCGCGUAGGUGGUUCGUUAAGUUGGAUGUGAAAUCCCCGGGCUCAACCUGGGAACUGCAUUCAAAACUGACGAGCUAGAGUAUGGUAGAGGGUGGUG